GACUCUGCUCUCCUCGUUUGGAUUAAUUCUGAUAUAAUAACUGUUGGUUUAUUUAUCGGUGGAGCAGCACAACAUUUUCCACAGACAGUUUUCCUGCCCGUUGGCUUGUUUUAACCAGUUUUCUGCCUUCGGCUGAUUCUACCAGCAGACACUGAAAGGACUCUGAUAGUUCGAGUGAAAGCAGCAGUUCCUCCUGAAGGUCAGAGAUUGCAGCAUCUGAGGGCCUCUUCAAAAGAAGACGUAGUUGAUGAAGGCGUUCUGGAGCAGGACCAGAAAGACCACGACCAAGCAGCCUUGAGAUCUUAGGCAGCGUCUCCCUCAGGUCCCUCUCUAUCUCCCCACACAUCCACCAACCACUGGAACACAUCUCCAAAGUUCUGCUGGGCCAGCUCAGCUUCCCUUCAGAAGAAGUUCCACCAGAUGAAGGAGCCUUUUGAGAGGCAGCUGGCAUCGUGAUUGGACUGUACUUUGGUCUGUUCCAAUCCAGCUUCAGCUCCAGAGACGGCAGGCGGGACGAGUCAACAGAGGCCUGGUGGACGAAGGCAUGCAGCUGAGUACAAUCCAGAAAACAACAGAGGAGGAGUGCAGCGGCCCAGAGCCAGAACAAACAGAGUAGCAUUGUAUGUCUCUUAGAAAACAUCAUAGUAUAGCCUUUGGUAUGAAAAAACACCAUCAUAUACAUCGUAUAUUGUACAAAUAACAAGUCAAAGCAAAGAGGCAUACAUUGUAGAAUUGUAGUAAUUGUGGGCUGACUGGCCUUGGCAAUGGUCGUCGGAAUGUGAAUAACACUUGUUAGGGAAUUCUGCGAUGUCAAAAGAGGAAUCAGGAGGCAAACUCAGGGACACUCUAGAGACUCAGAUGGCUUAUGUUGAGAAUAAGGUUUACUGAAUUCAGGAGAAAUGAUACAGCGAGUAACACAGUGACGUGAGCACUGGCAGCAUCAGUUCUGAGGAGUCUCUCUGGUCUUGGGCAUAUAUACCGUUUGGAAGGCGUGCCAUGUUUAUGUUAUACUCUAAAUGUGGAGGCAGGACUGUUAGUUCAGGAUCCAUCUGAACAGGAACACAGCAAUAUAAUCUUGUUCUGACGUCGUCAGCCAGAUAGUUGUCUUUUAUCCCUAUGUUAUGUUUACCAAGCGUCUGUCUGUCUCAGGGUCAUAUUAGGGGACAGAGAGAGCAUACGCAAGCUUGCAUCCUCUAUCUAGGAGAACCAUGAGUCAAGGGUGACCAUUUGGGAUGACUCAGCAUUUAGGCUGUUAUACACUAGAACCACCUCAGUCGUGAGAAAGUGAGUAAUUUUUCCUUCACAACACUGACCACACCUCACAGAGGUUAUAAGCUGAGGCAACAUCAACCACCACCAGAACUGAAGAAGCCUCUUGGAUGAGAGGUGAAACGUCUUCAAGGAACCUUCUUAAAGUCCAGUUGGAUUGAUUUAAACAACUUUGGAUGACUGAUUUACUGAUUAUCAGUAUUUUAUUUUUUACUGAUUUACGGUAAUAAAUACAUUUAAAAAUGG